GAUGAACGCUAGCGGCAGGCCUAAUACAUGCAGGUCGGACGGGAUUUGGGAGCUUGCUUCCAAUGAGAGUGGCGCACGGGUGCGUAACACGUAUGUAACCUACCUUGUUCAGGGGGAUAGCCUCUCGAAAGAGAGAUUAAGACCGCAUAACAUUAUGAAGUAGCAUUACUUUAUAAUCAAAUAUUUAUAGGAACAAGAUGGGCAUGCGGAACAUUAGCAGUUGGUAGGGUAACGGCCUACCAAGGCUACGAUGUUUA
rnacentral:rRNA from 1 species